CAUCUAGUUACACCUCUUACAAUUGUUUAUAAUAUAUUCAAUGCACAGAAUUUACACUUCAAGUUUUAUUACAAGUACCUGUAGAUAGAUUAUUUAUUAAUUACGUCCUGUGAUAAAAUCUCUAAAUUCCAAAAACAAUUUACAUUGUGUGUGAAUUAGAGCUUAAAAACUAAUAAUACAAGCAAUGGAAAGUAAUGGUAAAUAACAUUGUUAAAAUCGAACUACUAUUCAAUUAAAAAUGAUAGUCGAAUACUGGUCUCAAAAUUAUAACAUUUAUGCGAUAAAAUUACAUCAGUACGUUACGUAGAACGUUAAUAAUACCUUUCAAGAUACCUAACACAAUAUAAACCAUGUCAAGAGAUUACAGUUACCAUUAAUAAUGUCAAAUUCAAAAAUAAACAUUUUGCUUUUGUGUACUAUUUAUAUAUUUCCAAAAAUAUCAUCACAGUUGUGAGUCGGUAUUAGAGCCGAGUAUGAAGUUACAAUAUUGUAAUACCGACCAAUCAAAUUAUCUAAUGUUGAAUUUAGUUUUACACAAAAACUUUAAGAAAUAGUUUUGUCUUCAAUAGAUCUAACGAAGUAGGUAAAAUAAUUUUAAGAAUUGAACCCAGUUUAUAAUAGAUAAUUAUUGUAAAAUACUAAAUGGUCUGAAAAUUCUAACAACGCCGUGGGUCGUUAUUUGAAGCAGGUUUUGUUUGGAUUCUAUUACCGUCUCAAAUUAAAACAUGAUUUUCUAACAGAAAAAGCAAUAAAAGUGUUAGAUUACGAGUUAGUUUAGAAAACGGUACAGUUGUAAUGAGAUAGCAAGAAGACAAAUUCAUCGUUAGGAAGUUACUUUCCUUUAACGUGUACUUAAUUACGUUAGUUACGUGGCUGGAGACGCGACGCUAUGCAACUUGCGUCCGCUUCGGGCGCGUCCCUCUCUCUCUCUCUCUCUGGUCGUUCCCUCAUGUCUGAGGAUCGUGGUCAGCAUCAGGAUUGCAUUUGGAGCGGAUGAUCAGCUUCCAGCAGUUUCUGUCUCUCACAACCGUGUAAAAUGGUGGGGACGGGUCUUUCACCUGACGGGUCCAUGUCGUUGGGAAAUUAUUUCAUUCUGCAGUUAUAUAAACACCCAAACUUAAUUAUUUUAAUUGUCCAACAAAAAUAUGUAACUCAUUUUUAAAGUAACCGUGUGGGUCGCUAAUAUAGUAACCUAACCAAAUAAGGCCUAUGCCCCAAUAAAGCCUAUUUUGAAAAUUUCCCUCUUCCCGAUUUCAAAUGGUCGCCAAAGUUUUUAGAAGUGUGCAUGCACAUUACUUAACUAAUUUGAGCACAGCAAGCAACCCGUGCCGCGAUUAUGUUGGAACCUACAGUCGAAAACAAUCACGACGUGGAGCGCACUUUAGUUUUUAUAAAAUUCGAGUAGCGUAAACUGUUAGUAUUUUUAUAUUUAUCAGUAUACGACGUGCCGUGUUUUGUCUGUAUAACAAUUAUACCUUUAGCCAUCUCCUCACAUAAGUGAAAUAGCUAUAAUAUCGGUGUAUUUUAUAUAAUCGUUGUUUUGUUUACCUAUGUGCCAUGCCCUAAUAAAGCCUACAAAAAAAACGUGUAGGCUUUAUUACGGCAUAGCUGUUUUUCAGUAAUUUCAUAGAAAACGGAUCACCAGCUUCUGUCAAAAAGAAAGCCAAUGGAUUUUGCAAAAGAUGGAAAACGCUAUUGAAAUGGUAGAAAGGGGUAAACGGGGUGAAUAGAUACAGAAAAGGGGUGAAUGGAUAUCGGGAAAUUCUUCAUAGUAAUUCAACCUUCGAAUUUUAUGCACCCUGUUUUACCCGGUAGGCUGCUGCAGCCAGAUAUAACUUCCAAAGAAGUACGCACCAUCUAAAGAGUGGUUCGACUACACGAAAGCUAGGUCGGUCGCUGAAUUGGCUACAGAACAAGAAGUUAUUCUCAUUCGUUUGACUGAUGCUGGGGUACCGAUGACUUCAAAGAUGUUACUUGGGUAUUACAUGAUGAGAAACUCGUUUAGCCUGAUGUAUAAUGACCAAAAUUAAUUAAUAAGAUCUCAUUACAUUUAUUAUAAGCAUUGACAACGUUUUAUUAUAAUUAAGAAGUUGAAUACUUACUAGUUUUUAUUGAGGCCUUAUUAAGACAUAGGGUUCCCAAUAAGGCCAAAGUGACACUUUAGUUAUUUGUGUUUACAAAAUUGUAAUUUUUGUUUCUAAAGCCAUUUUGAUUCCAUUAUUACAAAGUUUAAUAAAUAUAUAUAAGAUUUUGAAAUUAUCAGCCCAUUGUCAUUUUAAACCUACGAGCUAGGCGGUAAUAAAAAUAAGGUAGGCCUUAUUUGGUUAGGUUACCUUAUAAGGAAAUGAAGAGCUGUCGAUCUGUCUGAGUGGCGUGGUAAUGCUGACCAUCCACACGGACCGGCCGCAGGUGUGACAUGCAGGCCAAUGUUGGCACCAGUACUUCAGUGACCCACUACAUCACACACACCCGUGUGUGUGUGUGUGUGUGUGUGUGUGUGUGUGUGUACACAGGGCUGCGCCACCUGUACUACGUGCUGUGUAAAUUAAGUAGAUAUUGUUUUAUCGAUGUUACAGUUUACCUAUUUAUAUUAUAUGUACUUACCAAGUAUUUUAAAGUAAUUAAUAAAAUUUGUUGUAAAA